CACCCCGAGGGGUGACGCCGGCCGACGAGGUUUCGUCCGCCGGCGUGUUUUGC
rfam:Sphingomonas sp. WG contig_18, whole genome shotgun sequence.